UCAAUCUGUUGAUUUCAUUGGUUAAUUAAAUAAAGAAACUGCUUGCCCUGAUAGGUUAAAACAUAGGUGGGAGGAGUAAACAGGAGGAAGAGGAAGUGAGGUAAGACUCCUCAGAAAGACGCGAGAUAGCUCUGCUCUCAGAGACACAUGCGAUGAAGCUUCCGACUCAGGAUGGACAUAGGCUAGAAUCUUCCCGGUAAGCGCACCUUGGGGUGCUUACACACAUUAUUAGAAAUGGGCUAGUCCAGGUGCGAGAGUUAGCCGAGAAGAGGCUAGAUAUAAUGGGCAAGCAGUGUUUAAAAGAAUACAAUUUGUGUGUUGUUAUUUCGGGCAUGAGCUAGCAGGCGGCCGGGGUGCUGGGGACACAGCCCUGCCGCUUCUUAUUUCAACAGUCCAUUGCUCACGAGCAUUUGUUCACCUGCAUCUUUGGGUCAUUGUUCCUAGGGGCCGUAGUCUUCCGCUGACCGCCCUUUCCAGUAUGAUUAUCCCCACUUCAUAGAUGAGGAGCUGAGGCCACUACAGAAGGAAUGUGGUCCCUUCCUCUGUGAAGAGGAGAGGCAGGGGCCUCACUGAAGCCAGCACCUAGUGGUCCAAGGGAGACCAGGACCCUCUGAAGCCAUGAGCCCCUCCCAUCCUGCUUUCCAGUCCCGGAUAUAUCUUUCUCUCUGGGGUCUCCUUCUGAUGCCAGCAGUGUUGGCCCAGCGAGGCUCACGCACCCAGGCUGAGGACCGCCUGUUCAAACACCUGUUUGGAGGCUACAAUCGUUGGGCGCGGCCAGUACCCAAUACCUCUGAUGUGGUCAUCGUGCGCUUUGGACUUUCCAUUGCCCAGCUCAUAG